UACGGAGGGUGCAAGCGUUAUCCGGAUUCAUUGGGUUUAAAGGGUGCGUAGGCGGGGUGGUAAGUCAGUGGUGAAAUCCUGCAGCUUAACUGUAGAAUUGCCAUUGAUACUGCCAUUCUUGAGUGCGCUUGAAGUGGGCGGAAUGUGCCGUGUAGCGGUGAAAUGCUUAGAUAUGGCACAGAACACCAAUUGCGAAGGCAGCUCACUAAGGCGAUACUGACGCUGAGGCACGAAAGCGUGGGGAUCGAACAGG
rnacentral:rRNA from 1 species